UACGUAGGGGGCUAGCGUUGUCCGGAAUCAUUGGGCGUAAAGCGCGUGUAGGCGGCCCGGUAAGUCCGCUGUGAAAGUCGGGGGCUCAACCCUCGAAAGCCGGUGGAUACUGUCGGGCUCGAGUACGGAAGAGGCGAGUGGAAUUCCUGGUGUAGCGGUGAAAUGCGCAGAUAUCAGGAGGAACACCAAUUGCGAAGGCAGCUCGCUGGGACGUUACUGACGCUGAGACGCGAAAGCGUGGGGAUCAAACAGG
rnacentral:rRNA from 1 species